GGUGAGGUUGAUGUUAUAUCCGUUGAGGAUUCCAAAAAUCCAAAGCUUUCAACAAAUUUCCUGCUCAGCUUCAAAACGACGCUAGAGGUGGAUUUUCAGGUGAAGGGUAUUUUUGUGGACAAAAAACAAAAGUGAAGGAUAUUGUCUGUGAAGCUCCUCAACGGCUACCCGAUAUUUGAAGCACAGAGCGGAGUUGCCGUUGCGAAGCUGAAAACUUCCUUUAUUAAAUGAGAUGCCAAAGAUACGUAAAUCUUUUCUCUUUUCCAUCCAUAUAUAGUUGUAUACCCUACUGACGGAAUAAGGGCAAAGAAAAACCCUAUCAUAAAUCAUAAAAUUCGACUUCGAGUUUAAUGUGUGUCAGUGAUCUUUUGCGUUAUAAAAGGCACAUACUCUGCUUAGUUUGUCGGUACAGAAAGAACCAAUAAAUUCCAACAACCCGUAACUUUUCACGAUCACUGUUGAUUUCUGUGCUUUAAGAGUUUGUUCCUACCUGAACAUGUCACCUCAGUUUGGCACCAAGCAUUUGUCGCGGGCUUCAUUUGCUUUUUCUUGCUUAAGUUUCUCGCUUUUGUAGAUUGGGCCCGGAAGUGUUUACUCUGGGGUUUGAUGAUAAGGGCAGGUUAACCGGGCAUUCAAUGUUUAGCUUCUGGAUAACGAGUUGGUGACUGGUGGAUUGAUUUCGGGGGAUUAAUUAACAUUUUAACUUCCGACUUCAAAACCCUCUACAUACUGAAGGGUCACAACCUGCUUGUGUUAUUUAAAUGCACUGCUUAUACUGAGAAUCCUUGAAAUAAUGCAGCUCUGAAUUAAAAGGCAUAUGAUAUAUAUUUUCCGCAGGGCCAUGGUAAAGAACUGAAGGUACGCAGAAUUAUGUGCUGAAACAAAUUCGUGUUAUUGUAAUCCAUCCAAAUCUCACUAUGUUAUGGAAAGUCAGCAAGCUAAACAUGACUCAGAAACCCUUUUCCAUAAAGAUGUGUUCUGGAUAUUGGCUUUAGCUCUCCUAAAGGAAUCAGCUGAUAUAAGUGGCUUCAAUUAAGAUCGACCCAGACAAGGCUCAAGAGAAAAAAAGACCUGCCUGCCGAAGCUGAACCGACAUUAUCACUCUUUUUCCUACUUCCUGAAAGCACAAGAAAAAGUGGAAUUUGCAUUGCAUAUCAUGCUCAUAAAGCUAACUUUGUGAGCAGUAUCGCGGAACUAAUUUCUAGCUUAACUAUGGCAAUGACCCAUGAGUCUCUCAGCAUUAUAUAACAGUGGCAGAAGCCCAUGGACCGAGCUAUUCUAAAACCCAAUGGGACCAAAGAAGCCCACUUCCCAAGCUCCCUGCCAGGCCAGGAUCUUUUCUUUUGGUCAGCAAAUCCGCAGCAUGGAUGCUGAGAGACCCAACUGGGCCAGAAUCUUGCGAUUAUAGAGUGUCUAAGAACUAAUUUUCACCAUGUUUGGAAAUUAGUUUAAGGGCCCAUGAACAUCAUGUUUUCACCGUCCAGGCCCCGGCUGUCAGAAACUCAGAAUGCGGAAUAUCUCUUGAUGUUGAAGGAGAAAUCUAACUCUGUUGCCUAAUUGUAACCAUAUUAUAUGCUGGAUUCUAAUUAGGAUAGAGCACCUGGCUAGGCUAGCAUGAUCAUAUUAAUAAAGUUCUAAACUUUUUUCAUGCGGCUCAUCAAUUAAGACCACCUAGGCUCUCCGGUCGAAGCAGGCUGUAUAGAGGAGACGCGACAAUUCCCAGGUUUUCAUGAGUACCACUCUGUUAUAGCCUUGAUCUUUUACAGUACUUCAUGUUAUCUUUCUCCUGCUUAGACAACGCUUUUUAGCAGAAUCCAAGAUUUGCGUCUGCGAUCAUCGUUUGAGUGGCCAUGAAAUGAUUUUACAAAAGA